rnacentral:rRNA from 1 species
AACGAACGCUGGCGGCAGGCUUAACACAUGCAAGUCGAACGCCCCGCAAGGGGAGUGGCAGACGGGUGAGUAACGCGUGGGAAUCUACCGUACCCUACAGAACAACAGUUGGAAACGACUGCUGAUACCGUAUACGCCCUACGGGGGAAAGAUUUAUCGGGGUAUGAUGAGCCCGCGUUGGAUUAGCUAGUUGGUGGGGUAAAGGCCUACCAAGGCGACGAUCCAUAGCUGGUCUGAGAGGAUGAUCAGCCACAUUGGGACUGAGACACGGCCCAAACCCCUACGGAAGGCAGCAGGGGGGAAUAUGGGACAAUGGGCGAAGGCCGGAUCGAGCCAUGCGGCGUGAGUGAUGAAGGUCUUAGGUUUGUAAAGCUCUUUCCCGGAUGAAGAUAAUGACGGAAGUCGGAGAAGAAGCCCCGGCUAACUUCGUGCCAGCCGCCGCCGUAA